GUUCGAUCCCUGGCCUCGCUCAGUGGGUUAAAGAUCCAGCAUUGCUGUGAGCUGUGGUGUAGGUCACGGAUGCUGCUUGAAUCCUGCAUUGCUGUGGCUGUGGCUUAGGCAGGCAGCUGCAGCGAGCCUGGGCACCUCCAUGUGCCGCGAUUGUAGCCCUUAUUAAAAAAAAAAACAAAAACCUCAGAAUAAAAGGAAACUAAGCUAACUUGAUAAAAGGAUACUUAUCAGAAAUCAUGUAUCAGACAUCAUCCUUAAUGGUAAAAAUAUUAGAAACAGGAACCAGGCAACAGACACUGUUACUGUAACAGAUACUCUUCACCAUCAUCCCGUUAAUUCACCCUGACUCCUGCCAUACGGCGAGGCCGAGGGAAGCAACGCGGGAAUGAAGGGCUACCACUGCCAUGAUUUGCAGAUCAGAUAAUCAGCGCUGCAUGAAGAUCCAAGACCGUGAACGAGAAAGGUAUAAAAACCCAGUUAAAUAGUUCCGUCAUUUGCUAAAGAUGAAAGAGCUCAUAAAGAUUUUUGCAGUGACCCAUUAGGAGGAAAUAUUUGCCAUAUUUGUAUAGCUUACCCAUCAGCUCCAUACGCUGUGAAUCGCUUCUCUGAAUCGAUAAGAAAAAGACGACGAUUUAGAGAAAAGCAGACCGAGGAGGGACACGGUCAUUUGCAGAAAAAGGCACGCAAGAGACACGAGGCAGCCCGGCUCAGCUUAGAAAAUGAGAAGCGGCGUCAGGGCGUUUCAGUGCUGCGCUCCUCUCAGGACCGAAGCCGAAGGAGUGAUAAUCCAAGGAUGACGACGGGCAGGGUGCCUUAGCGUUACCCCAGGGUCUUGGGAGGUGGGCUUCCUGUGCUUCUGGUUUGAGUCCCGCAGCGCCACGUGCCUGUGACCUUGGGUUAAAUGAGGUCAGAGUCAAGUGCAGGGAUCUAGGUGGAUCUCAGUUGCCCCAGGACCUGGCUCCCAGGAGCUGCAGAAAGCCAGGCGUCCGAUGGAUGAGGCUCUUCCCCGCCCUCUCUCGGGCUGGAUGAUGGUCAGGUGUGUUAGGAGGGGACCCUCCAGAGGUGACAGUCCUGGGCCUUCACCAGCAUCCUGUGCACAGGGAAUCAAAACAAAAGCCACAACGGCGGUGUCACGUGUCACCUGGAGUCUGGGAGCUGAGCUGUCCCCCACCUCUCUCAGCAGCGGAGGCCGAGGGACUCCUGUGCUGUCACAAUAAGCCCUGAGGGAGUGUUUGCACCUUCCCUCUCUCUGCUGGUGUGCUUCACUCUGUCUGCCUCCCUGCAGACAGCAAGCCCCACGCGGACAGGGAGCUCUGUCCCUCUCCCCAGUGCCUGGUGCCCAGAGAGCGUUGCUUGAAUGAAUGCUGGUGAAGUGGCCAGUAGCAGGCGUCCUGAGGGACAAAUGGCCGCCUCUCGAAGGGACACUGACUUCUGCAUCCCUGCCUCAGGGUGAUGGUUUGGAAAGAAGUGGACAGACUCUCCAGUCAUCUCUAGGGUGCGGGAGUCUCAGCUUUGCCCAGCUGGUCACAGGACCCAGGGAGGGAGCUGGACAAGCCCCACCCCUACCCUGGGACACCAGCCUGUUGUUAAACUCAAAGAGUGGAGUCUGAUUCAGGCGGGCGACUCCCCCUGGGUCCCCAACUCAUCGCCUAAACAGCAUCUGCUGAGUGCUUGUUGCCCCCUUCCCACUGUGGAGACCUGCUGCCUGGGGGCAGGAUUGUCCAGCACGAUUUAGGACGGGGAAGCGGGAGGAAGCUCUCAGAGAGCUUCUUGCUCAGGGACAGAGCUGGGGUUUCUGCCCUGCCUCACAGGGCGGCCCGUGGAGGGAGGAGAGACCCCUUCUGGGGUCUUGUGGGGAGGGAGUUUAAAUAGCACAUCUACGCAGCAUUAUGAAUAUGAAGUUUACCCCUGAGCAUGACACUGAGAACAUUUAAAAACCAUUCAUUGCCGAAAAUUAAGCUCAUCUGAAUCUUGGCAGGUGGAGCUAUGUAGAAGACUCCCUGCUUCCCAGCUUGGGGACCCCCCACCCACCCUCGCACGCAGAGUGUCAAAAUCUCCGGCUGCCCGAGGGGCGAGGUGCCAAGUUUCAGCCACAGGGUGUAACGCUUCCCCCAGAGCUGCAGGAGGAAGGCUGGGUGGGUCUCAGGCAUCCCGGAGCCCUUGACAGUCUCUGCCAUCUGGAAGGGGCAGAAUGGGGCGUAUACACGCGGGACAAAUGCUUCCACGUUUCUGUGAAACCUGCUGCCUGGGAUUCCUACCCGUGACUGACCUGCACAGACCCGCCGCCUGGCGCCUCCGGUCAGCGCGCAAGUGCAGUGGUAACUGGUGCAUCUCCCAAACCCCAAGUCUCUGCAAACCAACUACAGCAUCCGGCCGGGAUGCUGCGGAAGCUGCCCAAAGGGCUCAGGCGAACGUGCUGCCCACGCGCGUGCUGGAGCCCAGGCUUGGCUUUCCCCGGGCCUGCUCAGCACCCAGGCUCUCAGCCCAGGGGACAGCAGGGGGCAGCUCUGAGUCACGGCGGAUGGGCUGCAUUGGAGGAGGGACCUGUGCGCCAGAGGCUUCGGGGCUGCCCAUGGGGAGACGGGGGCAGGGUGAUGGGGAGAAGGUCAUUCAAUUGAUUCUUAAGUAAUGCAGUACCUUAGGCUGCAAGUUCUAGAUGGGAAAACUGAGGUCCCAGUUGGCUGGACCUGUGCUCUGGCCUCAUCACGUGACUAGGGACUGCCUCGUCCACCAGAGCGGUGACGACAGGCAGCAGACAGCACCCUCUCUGCAUUCUGGUGCUUGGAGGCUGUGAGCUGAGCCCAGGGGAGGCAGGAGGGCCCUGCUGAGAAGAGAGACUCUGAGCCUCUAAGUGCAGGAGCAACCUCAACUCACCUGCCAACGGGCACCUGUCUGUGCCUGGACUGGAGCCACACUCUGAGAUGCUGGCUAUGAACUCAACAAAUCUCAGGUGACAUCUGGCCGGCAGGAAGGAUGACCCCAGGGGUUAUGCCCCAAGUUUACCCCGGACCUCCUCCCCAGCUGACUGCCCAUCUCUGUUCCGCAAACGCUCAGUAAACCAGCUUCACCCUCCUGCGCCCUCUCAUUGCCAAGUUCAGUGAAUCCUCAAUGAGUCGUUGAUCUGUGGUCACUACCUCCUUGUCUCAGAGUCGUGUUUUGAAAGUUUUGAAAUUAGACUUGGACCUUAUGAUGGUACAUGUGUGCUCACCUAUGUAUAGCUAAUCAGGCCAUGCUUUUCAAUAAAAAAUAUUCAGCAAAAGUCUGACAUUGUGAGUAGUCUACAAGCUAAUAUUUGUCCUCCAAUACCUGCAUUAUUUUUAUUUUUUAGCUUGGAUAGCAAGUUUAACUUUUUAUUUUUAUCUAUUUAUUUAUUUAUUUGUCUUUUUAGG
rnacentral:lncRNA from 1 species